rnacentral:rRNA from 1 species
UACGGAGGAUCCGAGCGUUAUCCGGAUUUAUUGGGUUUAAAGGGUGCGCAGGCGGGGGAUUAAGUCGGCGGUGAAAUUUUGCAGCUCAACUGUAAAAGUGCCUUCGAAACUGGUUUCCUUGAGUGUAGAUGAAGUAGGCGGAAUUUGUGGUGUAGCGGUGAAAUGCUUAGAUAUCACGAGGAACUCCGAUUGCGCAGGCAGCUUACUAAACUACUACUGACGCUCAGGCACGAAGGCGUGGGGAUCAAACAGGAUUAGAUACCCGGGUAGUCCCUGA